rnacentral:rRNA from 1 species
AUUGAACGCUGGCGGCAGGACUAACACAUGCAAGUCGAGCGGAGCGGCGGACGGGUGAGAAAUGCCUAGGAAUCUGCCUGGUAGUGGGGGCGAACGUCAGGAAACGGGCGCUAAUACCGCAUACAAUCAGAUGAGCCUAGGUCGGAUUAGCUAGUUGGUGGGGUAAAGGCCUACCAAGUCGACGAUCCGUCACUGGUCUGAGAGGAUGAUCAGUCCCACUGGAACUGAGACACGGGUCAGCGUCCGACGGGAGGCAGCGGGGGGGAAUAUUGGACAAUGGGCGAAAGCCUGAUCCAGCCAUGCCGCGUGUGUGAAGAAGGUCUUCGGAUUGUAAAGCACGUUAAGUUGGGAGGCGUUACCAACAGAAUAAGCACCGGCUAACUUCGUGCCAGCAGCCGCGGUAAUUC